GACGAACGCUGGCGGCGUGCUUAACACAUGCAAGUCGAGCGGUAAGGCCCUUUCGGGGGUACGACGAGCGGCGAACGGGUGAGUAACACGUGGGUGACCUGCCCUCAGCUCUGGGAUAAGCCUGGGAAACGUGGGUCUAAUACUGGAUAUGACUCCAUGACGCAUGUUGUGGGGUGGAAAGCCUUGUGCGGCUGAGGAUGGGCCCGCGGCCUAUCAGCUUGUU
rnacentral:rRNA from 1 species